ensembl:lncRNA
UACCCCGGACGUUUCCAGUGUCCCGGAGCCGACUACCCCGGACGUUUCCAGUGUCCCGGAGCCGACUACCCCGGACGUUUCCAGUGUCCCGGAGCCGACUACCCCGGACGUUUCCCGUGUCCCCGAGCCGCCGACGACUGCGGAGGUUUCCCGUGUCCCCGAGCCUGCCAUGCCAGAGACGUUCCGGAGCUGGCCAAAUGACCAUCCGCCGGGCCGACCACCGGAGGCUCCCCGGCAGUGUGCCUAUCCGCCAGGCCGACCCCCAGAGGCUCCCCGGUCGCCUGGCCGCCCGCCGGGCCGCCCGCCAGAGUUUCCCGGGUGGUCCGAACAACGUCUCGGGUUUCCCUCCCCCCCACCCCUUGUUUUGCUCUAGUGUGAGCCGCCUGGAAGUCGGCCCUUGAGGGGGGGGUACUGUCACGGUGUGGUUUCACUUCCUGUCUUAUUUUGUAGUUUUCUGCCACUCGUGUCCCCGGGUAACUUCACUUCCUGCCUUGUCUCGUCAUCCCCUGUGUUCGUCUAAUAGUUUCCACCUGUGUCCAAUCACCUGCACCUCCCUUGUGUAUUUAAGCCAUGUGUCUCUUGUGUCACUUGUCGCGUCAUUGUCUUUCGUCUUGGAUCGUCGUAGUCUCUUGCCUGUGUGCGUUUGCCCCCAGUUCCGGUGUUUUUUGAUCCUUGUGACUAUUAAAGUCUUUUGUUUGCCGCAAGUCUGCGUUUGAGUCCUGCCUUCCAACGCCACACCCUGACACCGGGUGUUUAGUUCACAAACGUCUUAUGAACUUGAACUUUGUGUUUUCUGGCAGGAGAUGCGCACACCGAACCCAAGUGCGCACGAGCACAAGUACGGCGUCUCAUAACGUGCGUACCGAGCGCCAGCAUGAUCAUACUCAUACUCAUACACAUACUAAAUGUCCCUGUGCAUUCAUUACAUGGAACGCUCUAAUCAUACACCAAAGUACAUUUGACUCUAAUGAAAGGGAGUUUUUUGCUCAUAUGAAUACGCAUCUGAAGAGAACACACACCUCACACAUUAGCAGAUGUUUUAUUGUGAGAGCUGCAGUAGCAUCUGCACCGUAGCCGCUUGACAGCAACCUUGGUGAAGUUGGAGUUUAGUCCACGUGCCAGGCUGACAGCUAUAGACACUAAUGAACUUUACUACUUGAUAAACUCAGCAUCCGUCACACUAUCUAGAGGUGUUGUGACUGAUAUCCUUAAGCCGACAAGUUGAUGACUCUUUAGUGACAGAAAUCCGCCCAGCAGUGAGCUCAUCGACGGUGGCGCAUGGUUACAGAGGGCGUGCCGGGACCCGCAAGGGUGUCGGUUUGAGCCCCGGCUGCUCCAUGUCCCAUGUUGAGGUCUCCCUGAGAAAGACACCUGACCCCUAAUGGCUCCCCAGGCAUUAAUG